rnacentral:rRNA from 1 species
UACGGAGGAUCCAAGCGUUAUCCGGAUUUAUUGGGUUUAAAGGGUGCGUAGGCGGCCUUGUAAGUCAGGGGUGAAAGACGGCAGCUUAACUGUCGCAGUGCCUUUGAUACUGCAGGGCUUGAAUACACUUGAAGUAGGCGGAAUGUGACAAGUAGCGGUGAAAUGCAUAGAUAUGUCACAGAACACCGAUUGCGAAGGCAGCUUACUAAAGUGUGAUUGACGCUGAGGCACGAAAGCGUGGGGAUCAAACAGG